GGGGUUGUGGCUCAACGGUAGAGCACUCACCUAGCAUGUGCGAGGUCCUGGGUUCGAUCCUCAGCACCA
rnacentral:tRNA from 1 species